ensembl:lncRNA
AUAUAUAUAAUUUUUUUUACGAAAAGUUUUUUCGUAGCGACCUGCGCCGAUUCCGUCGUCUCGUCUCCGUGAUGAAGUGCAACUCCGUAGACAGUGUUUUAGGGACAGUCUGUGUGGAAGCAACGGAUGCCUGCGCGUUACGCCACGUUGUGGUACUGUAUUCAUCGUAGUUGCUCUGUGCAUGUCUAGCUAGCUAGCUAGUUAGGCUCCUUCCUGUAUUCGCUGUGCUUGUGGCGUCGGUGAUAUGUUCAGUGCCCUUCGCUUGCUCUGUGAUCCGAACAUUCGCGUUUUUUUUUUUUUAGCGAUUCACGUGUUCUUAUUUAUUGCCGAGUAUUUAUUCACGUCCACCGUCACACGAUCACGUGCACUACUGUACUCUACGUCCGUAGCACAUCGAUGUUAUCGGAUCAUUAUAUUGAAGUCUACUGUACACUCCGACAUACACACGAAAAAAAAAAAAUGUAAAAAGAAAAAAAUAAUUCCUUAAUAUUAAUGUUUUAUUCCGUGUCUUCGAGACUACCUUUUUAUUAACUAUAACGGAUUAUUUAAUAAUGUUUGUUUGUGCUAACUUAUUUGAUCAAAUCGUCGGACACAAUAACGUGCGAUCCAGUCAUGUAUAUUUGGGACGUGAACGAUGGUUGAAGGAAAAUAAAAAUAAAAAGAUCAAAAUAACGUUAGGACGAGUGUCCCAGAGUCCGUGAAGGAACGUUCCAGACAACAUUUACACCGUCACGUAAUCCCUUUAACGCUCCGCUAUAGCUGGAGUUUGUGCUCAGUACUGUGUCCUCCUCUUGCUGUGCAACGUGUGUUGUUUAUUUGCCCCGUUUUUGUUUUUCCUCGUUGUACGAAGUUGUAUUUAUUUCUAUUUUUCUAGCUUGGAUUGUAUUUUUCUAUUUCACUUAUUCGUCAUCCCCCCCCCCCCCCCCCCCCCCAAUUAUUUAUGACUCAGCAGGGUUUUUGGUGGUAAUAUUUUAAAAAAGAAAAAACAAGCUAACUCAACCCACCCAGUUGCAAUUAUGUGUAUAGUUAUAGAUUAAUUAACAUAUAGUUGCUUUUGAACGUUUUAACGUGAUUAAAAACUUAAUAUAUUCAGUUAUUUUAUUAUUUGAAGGUUUUUAUUAUUAUUAUUAUUAUUAUUAUUAUUAUUAUUAUUAUUAAUUUUAUGGAAAACACUUGAGCCUCUCUGUCUCUCCCCCUCACUGACGUGCAGAAACUUGAACACACUUUGAAAGGCUGACUAACCUCGGAUCUGUGUCGUGUCGUGCAAUACUGUUUCUAACGUUUGUAUAAAAAGAAUAGUGAGAAUUACAGUGUAUACCUUUUUAACGCAGAUUUAUUUUUGUCAUUGCCUAUUUUGCAGAGUUCCGAUUCACGGUUGUCAUUUUUUUACGGUCGGAAAAAAGAUGAAACCCCUUUUUUUCAUUGCGACUAUUUUUAAUAACCCAGAUCUCUUUGUACUGAUGUAAAUGAUUGUAGUUUAUUUUGGAUAGCGUUUUUUGCUAAGAAAAAAAAACAAAAUCAAAAGGAGACUUUUUUCAUGCAUUUCUAUUUCAUUUCAUCUUGUUUUACUCCUCUUUUUUUCACUUUAAUAGUGGCGAAAAUACUUGGAAUAAUUUUUCAUAUAUGUCAUUAACAUUAUUUUGUAUUUUUAUGUGGAAAUAUAUAAAUAUCUAAUUUUAUGAUGCUAAUUGCUAAGAUGUUAUUCAUUUGAAUUAUUUUUCAAGCUGAGAUCUUUGUAAUAUUGUUAAUGUUACUAGUUUCUAAAGCAGAGUCUGUGUACAGAUCUGCUCGAGCGGUUUAUGAAGUGUUCUGAUUGUAAUUAUUACUGAAUGGAUCUUUGAUAUGCAAAAUGAAUAUGAUGUUGAUUUUUAUUUUGAUUAUUAUUAUUUUAUUUAUUUUUAUUUUUUUGUAUUUAAAUGGGGUGUUGAUUACAAUCUUUAUUUCGUUUUUCAGUUUCAUGAAUAAAGAGCCGUUCUGUUCGGACACAGCUGGAGCCUUUAUAAUGGUUUAAUAUAUAAAUGUAUUAUAGGGGCUUGAAAUCAAAGGGACAUAAGACGUAAGGGACGUAUUUGGACCACAAAAAAAAAACAAAAAAAAAAAAAAACUUAUGUGUCAAAGAAAAGGUCUCAGUAUUUUAAUGACAGCUAGUACCAAAACAAAUAUAAAUGUUAGGCUAGGUUUAAAUAUUAAUCAAAACUGAAUUAUAAUAAUAUGGUUAUAAUAAUAUAAUUAUAAUAUAGAUAUAAUAAUAGAAAGACCAAUAUGUUCAGGCUAAACAUUUUUGAGUUGUGUUUUAUAUAUAACCAUAAUACUUGUACUUACAAACUAUACUGAUAUGUAGUUUAAGAGGUUUUUCAUAAUUAAGAACUAAUAUUUUUUUAAUUAAUUUGACAAAUUAUUAACCAUUUAAAUAAAAAU